rfam:Xanthomonas campestris pv. campestris str. ATCC 33913, complete genome.
CAACACAACUCUGGAGAGACCGGUUCACUCCGGCGCCGAAGGGGCACGGAACGCAGGCAGGCCACAGGCCAGGCCGCGUUCUUAAACUCUCAGGCAAAAGGACAGAGGGGCGCGA